rnacentral:misc_RNA from 1 species
GGUGACGAGGACUACGAGGGAUUACGAGGAGAGCGACUGAGCGAGAGAGAGAGAGUCGGUAACGGCGGCGCGUCCCAGCCGUCGGAGACGCGAGCGGGUGCGAGGUGCGAGUCGCUACGAUGAAUCGGUGCGAGCGUGGACGCUUCGUCGCGAUGGAGGCCGUCGCCUCCUCGUCGGUCCUGGUGUACCUUGUACGCGUACUCGCGGUGUCUCUCGUGCUGCUGUGGCCGGUGUUGAGCGAGGAGACCAGCCUGACAGAUCGCAUGCGGGCGAUCAGCGAGGACCUGGACCGGCAGCUCAACGAGAUAAUGGCCUCGCAGGCGCUCACCUACUCGGCGGUCAACACCGUCGGGCUGCCCUACAACGCCACCACCAAGUUCAAUCCGAAGGGCAUGGGCCAGCUGUACAACGUGACAAAUAUGUUCAUCGACCUGGUGCAGAGCAAGCAGGCGUACCCGGAGGGUAUGAUUACUCUGGUUGAUGGUGCGCCGAUUUUCGCGGACCCACUGAAAGAAUGGAAGAUAUUAGUGACGCAUUACGGAGGACUGGCCGGUCUCGCUCUAAUCGGGCUCAUCUUGGCAGCUAUUCUUCCUUGCGCGGGUCUCUUUUUCUGUUGUUGUAGAUGCGCGGGGCAUUGCGGUGCCAGAAGCCAACCCUUCGACAAAAAGCACGAUCACUGCAGGAAGAUUAUGCUUAGCAUGUUGUUGAUUGGGGUCGCCACUAUUAUUUUAUUUGGUGUGGUGUGCGCCUUCGUGACGAACGAAUACAUGCAGGAGGGAACCAAAGAGCUUCCGUGUAAAGCCAAGACUAGUUUGAAAGAUGUCAAGCUCUACUUGACUACCACGAAACAAGAAAUCGACAAUUUGCUCAAGACCAAUCCCGAGGAGCUGGAAGUUACGCUCAACAAUAUCCUGCAGGCCAGCGGCAAAAUCGUCACCGAACAACUGGCGGAAUAUUCGCACGCCGUCUCCCUGACCAAUCUGAACGACAUCGUUGCCGGGUUGGAGUCGAUCAGAGAAGAUCUAAGAUUGAUGAAUAAGAUAACGCAGGAAUUGCGGAUAAACGCCAGUCAAUUAGAUAUUGUUGUUCGUGGCGUCAAAAAAAAUCUUCUUCACACGCUAGCUGCGUGUACGACUGACAAGUGCCAACGAGUUCUGCACGACUACAAAGUGAAUCAGAUGUCGGUACAGGUGGACUUCGAUAAGUACAUGGACCGUUACUUCCCAAAGCUUCUAGCAUCUCUGCCGGAUGUUACAUUCGCGUUACAUAAUAUUACUGUGCUCAUGGAGAGUAAUAUAGUGUCGGAAGUGAGCCAAGGCAGGGAUUCAUUUCUGAAGAUUCAGAAGGAUAUACAGCAUGCUGUUAAUCAGACGAUCCCCGUGGUCAGCGCGAGUAUUCGAAGAGCUUGUAACUACCUGGCGAGCAUCGCCAAUAAUAUGACUGCCCUCAUCGACAGGAUAAAUGUCGACAUAGAUAAAGUUUAUAUGCGACACUUAGAAGUUGCUCGGAGCAAUAUAAAUCAGUAUUCACCUUAUAGAUAUUAUCUUGGUCUUAGUAUAUCCGGUAUUCUUUUAACUGUCUUGAUGUGUUUAACGUGCGGCCUUCUUUGCGGUAUUUGUGGAAAGCGUCCGGACGGAUACGGAGACGAUUGCUGUAAUAAGGGAUCAGGUGCACGAUUUCUUAUGAUGGCUGUGUGGAUCAUCUUUCUAUUAACGAGCGUUUUGAUGGUUGUGACCGUUGUUCACAUGAUAACCGGUGUUAUGGCCCAACGUGGUAUCUGCGAACCUUUAAAGAAUCCGAAAGACAACAGGAUGUUCGAGCUGGUCGACGAGCUUGUGCAGAUCAAGAGAAUACUUUAUCCGAAAAAUCCUAAUGCGAAUAUUAACAUGAGUUACAUUGUAACAAAAUGCCAUGAGAACGAGACACUUUACAAUGUGUUGAAUCUAAAAAAUGUGUUUCAUGUUGAAAGCCUGCGCGAUUAUAGCGGACGUUACGACAUCAAUGAUACCAUCCAACAACUGCGCCGCAAGAUCAGCCUUUCGCCCGGUGUAGUGAUCCUGAAGGAUAGCGCGAGAUCCAAACUGAACGAUUUAGCGCAGAGCGGCCUCAGUGACAUCAAGUUCUAUCAGUACGCCGAACUGCUCGCCGAGAACAUUACGAAUAUUAACUUGGAACAUCUUGCCAAACAGUUACGAGAGGUUUCCGCUAAAUUGCCGGAGGGACAAGACGAGAUUAGGCUUAGUCUCGAGAAGAAUGCGCAUGAUUUGGAACAUUAUCACAGAGAUUUGGUUAUGCCCAUGGCCACGCUUAGUGAGCAAUUGAGCGCAAAUGCGCUGGCGCUUCAGGAGAACAUUAAGUUCAAUCAUAGCUCGAUGGCGGACGCUAUUCACGAUUUAGUGGAUGAAGUUACCAAAGCGCAGCAGUUUCUAAAUAAGGACGGACCGGAAUAUGUUCAAUACCUCGCCACUAAAUUUGGCAACGCUUUCUUGCAUCAAGUGGACAAUUUCCUCGAGCACGUCAUUGAAUCUGCAAUGUUCAAAAUUGGAAGGUGUGCUCCUGUAUCGAAUGCUUACAAUGCAACGCUGGUGGCGGGAUGCAACAGAAUCUUAGAUCCAUUUAACGGCUUCUGGGUGAGCGUCGGUUGGUGCUUGAUUUUAUUCAUACCGACGAUAGUGCUCUGUGUGAAAUUAAGCGCUCUAUACCAAAAGUCAGAUCCAUACCCGGGGCCUCUUGUCGAAGCUGAAUAUUUGUAUGACGCGUACGCAGACAGGGAUAACAUACCCCUCGCCCACGUCCACGAUAAGAAGCACGUCUCUCACGGUAGGCAUCAUCCCGCGGCAUACGUUGAAAGCUACGACGGACCGGUGCUAGGAUACGGCGAGCGCGAGAGGAUUCCCGACGCCCACCAAAGUACGUCGCACCACGACUCGAGAUACUCCGAUUUGGCACCCAAGUGAGUGGGAACCCUGCGGGGGGCUCGACCUCUCGCGUCUCUCGAUACGCCUCUGCACAAAUUGGGACUUCCCCAACGGUGGUCCGCCAAGGUAUCAACCAGCUGCCGGGGCUCCGCCUCCUUUAAGCACUGAAUACGAACGACCGCCGCCUUAUUACUAUCCUGGGCCAGG